CCCGGGCCGGUCGGCCGUUCUGCUAAAUCUCCUGCGCGCAGGUCCGGUCUGAACCGGGCCCGUCUCCCCAGCGGAGAUGUCCCAGGCGCC
rnacentral:sRNA from 18 species